rnacentral:rRNA from 1 species
UACGUAGGAUGCAAGCGUUGUCCGGAAUUAUUGGGCGUAAAGAGAACGUAGGCGGUUUUCUAAGUUUGGUCUUAAAGACCGGGGCUUAACUCCGGGAAUGGAUCGAAAACUGGGAGACUAGAGGAUGUCAGAGGAAAGUGGAAUUCCGAGUGUAGCGGUGAAAUGCGUAGAUAUUCGGAGGAACACCAGUGGCGAAGGCGGCUCACUGGUCCGGUACUGACGCUGAGGUGCGAAAGCGUGGGGAGCAAACAGG